CUGUUUUAAUAAAAGAGGUUAUAUAAUAUAGCAUAUGACUAAAUCUUAGAUCCACUAAAAUGUUUAUAUUUGAAUAAGAAAUAUUUAUUAAGUUAUUUGAAAGAAAAUUAACAAGAAUUUAUUAAAAAAAAGUUGAUUCAAUGUUUACGUUGUUUAGACUCAAAUUUAAUUAUUGAGUUUUUGGAAACAUAUAUAGUACUAUAAUGUUGUUUCUAUAAUAUCUUUAUGAAGUUUUAGUAUUUUCAUUAAUUACCAGUGAUAUUUUAUGUAAUAUAAGAUAUGACUAAAUGUUAGGUUAUUUAAAAUAUUUCUGUUUUAAUAAAAAAUAUUAUAUAAUGUAACAUAUGAGUAAAAAAUAUUAUAUAAUGUAACAUUAUAAAGAUAUAUUUGCUACAUCCUCUUUCUGAGAAAAAAACGUUUGUAUUCUAAAAACAAUGGAGAUGAAAAGAAUGGUUUUAUUUAUGGUGAUGAUGUUGACGAUCUGAAGCCUUAUGGUUGAGUCGAAAGUUACAAACAGAAGUUUUCAGCUAUGUUUCAAGAUGUGUUUUAACAUAUGUAUCAUUGGCCCACCACGAGACAAAUUUGGAUGUUUCGGUAAAUGUACUAGGGAAUGUACUGGGAAAAAAAUCGAAAUCAAUUGUGUUUCUUUUCAAGAUCCGAAAAAAGAAAUCGAUGUGAAGAAGGCAAAAGACUGUGUGGAUUUAUUUUCGGAUAUGUGUGAUAAAAGAGUCUGAAGGCAAAUAAUAAUUACUCAUAUUUGAAGUUUUGAUAAUAUAACAAAGUUAUGUAUUAUUCGGUUAUUUCAAUUUUAUAGUCAAUUCAAAUAAACAUUUGCAGAUUGAUCAA